UAAUUUCUCAAAUUUAAUAAUGGGCAGUUUUUUUUAACUUACAUAUCCUAUAUGGAAAUAACAGACAUGAGCAUGUUUCAUUUAGUUAGUUCUACCACCUCCACAUUAAUUUUAAACCGGGUUAAAUUUAAGGUUGUAGUAAAGUUCCGCGUCAGUCCACAGGGGGCGCUGUGUCACUGUCAGAAGAUACAGUAGGAUCCCUUAUUGAUGUCACUUGUUAAAUCCACUUCAAUCAGUGUAGAUGAAAGGGAGGAGACAGGUUAAAGGUUAACCUGGUUAUAUCAAAAGAUUUAAGUGCCUUUGAACAGGUUAUGGUAGUAGGUGCCAGGUUAUGGUAGUAGGUGCCAGGUUAUGGUAGUAGGUGCCAGGUUAUGGUAGGAGGUGCCAGGUUGUGGUAGGAGGUGCCAGGUUAUGGUAGGAGGUGCCAGGUUAUGGUAGGAGGUGCCAGGUUAUGGUAGGAGGUGCCAGGUUAUGGUAGGAGGUGCCAGGUUAUGGUAGGAGGUGCCAGGCACACUGGAUUGAGUGUGUCAACAACUGCAAUGUUGCUGGGUUAUUCACACUCAACAGGCUCCCAUGUGUAUCAAGAAUGGUCCACCACCCAAAGGACAUCCAGCCAACUUGACACAACUGUGGGGUGGGAUGGACGCAAUAUUAGGAAGGUGUUCUUAUUGUUUGGUAUACUUAUGUUACACAUCAUACAGGCCUACAUUAUGUUACACAUCAUACAGGCCUACAUUAUGUUACACAUCAUACAGGCCAACAUUAUGUCACACAUCAUACAGGCCUACAUUGUUACACAUCAUACAGGCCUACAGUAUGUUACACAUCAUACAGGCCUACAUUAUGUUACACAUCAUACAGGCCUACAUUAUGUUACACAUCAUACAGGCCUACAUUAUGUUACACAUCAUACAGGCCAACAUUAUGUCACACAUCAUACAGGCCUACAUUAUGUUACACAUCAUACAGGCCUACAUUAUGUUACACAUCAUACAGGCCUACAUUAU
ensembl:lncRNA